GUCUCUCAUGGUUUCUACUUUCUAAGCAUGUUCUGUUCGUUUUUGUUGUUUAUGGCUGGCUUUGAUCAGUUUCGUCUUUAUGCUUUCUUGUUUGAUUGUGUCAGAUCUUCUUGUUUGAUUGGGAUAUAGAUUGUCCCUGUACUUCUUGCUUGUUGUUUAUGUCUGGUUUUCUUCAAUUUCACCCAUGUGCUUUCUUGUUUGAUUGUCCCGUAUCUUUUCGGAGUUUUUCACUUGCCAACAAUUCUUAUCUGCAUCAUAUUUAUAUAAUUUUAUAUUACAAUUUUUCCUUUAUUGUGAUUGGUUAAAAACAUAUAUUAAUUAGUUAAUAUUUAAAAUUUUAAUUUCAUUCGUAGGUUAAUUAGAUUAAUUUCCUAUUUAAUUUUAAAUUAAUUAUCUAUCUAAUGUUAGAAUUUAUAUAAGCCUAAAACUCUUCUAUUUAUAUUUAAAAAUUAAAAAACUUUAUAAUUUAGUCUCUAAAUAUUACUAUUAUUAACAAGUCAGUUUUUAUAUUUUCAGAAAUCUAUUAAAACGCCAUUAUCUUUUCUUUUCAUCAGCGAAAUAGUUCUUCCGUUUAUUUUUACCGUUAAAAUUAUAACAAAAGAUCAAAUUACCCUCCCUCUUCUCAUUUUCCUCCUCCUCCUUCUCCUUCUCUUUCUUUGAUUCUUUUUCUUCUUCUUCUUCGAUUUUUCUUUUUCUUUUUCUUCUUUAAAAAGGAGGCAAUUCUUCUUGCGAUUCUUCUUCUUCUUCUUCAUUAUUAACGUCUUCUUCUCCUUCUUCUUUCUCUUCUUUUUUUUUUCUUCUUUUUCUUUAUCUUCUUCUUCUUUUUUGAAAAGGUGGAGAAGGAGAAACUAUUUCGUUGAUGAAGAGAAACGAUAAGGACGUUUUAAUAGAUCUGAGAAAAGAUAAAGAAGUUUUAAUAGAUCUAAAAAAAAUAAGGACGUUUUAAUAGAUUUCUGAAAAUGUAGGGACUGACUUAUUAAUAAUGGUAAUACUUAGAGACUAAAUAAUAGGUUUUAUUUGAGGGUAAAAUUGAAUUUUAAAAAUUUUUUCUUUCAUCCCUCAUCUAUUUUUAAUGAAAAAAGAACAUAAUGACUAUUUCAUUAACGGAGAAAAAAAAUAAGAACGUUUUAAUAUAUUUCUGAAAAUAUAGAGAUUGACUUAGUAAUAAUGGUAAUAUCCAAAUACUAAAUAGUAAAUCUACCUAAAAUGCGUAAAAAUCAAUUAAAAAAUGUAAUAAUCAAUAUAUAUUAGGUUAUAAUUGAUGACAUGAUAUAGUUAUUACUUAAAAUUUAUUUUUCUUUCUAUCUACUGUAAAAGUUACAAAUUUUUUUAUGACAAAAAGAAAGCAAUAAUUAUUUAUGAUUUUUUAAUUUAAUAAAAAAAUUAUUAAUUCUUUUACUAUGAAAAAAUUCAAACCUUUCGAUUUUAAAAAAUAUAUUAUAUUCCUGAAAUUUUAAAAAUUUACUAAUUAAUUUAUCUGUUAAUUUUAUUCAUUAAACACUUUAUUAUUUAAUUUUUAUGAUUUUAAAAAAAAUUAUUAAUUAAUUCUUUAAAUUUAUAAAAAAUUUAUAAAUUAGUUCAUUUGUAUUAGAAGUAUUUUAUUUUUUUAAUAUUUAAUAAUUAAAAUUAACACAGAAAAUAAUUGAUAAAUUUUUAAGAUGUUAAGGAUAUUUUAUUAUAUUUUUUUAUAAUAGAGAAAUUAAUUAAUAAAUUUUUACAUGAUAUUUUAUUAUAUUUUUUUUAAAUAAAAAAAUUAAUUAAUAAAUUUUUACAUUUAACAUGAAAACUAAAACGUAAAUUUAAAAAAAAAAUUAAAGUUUAAAAUCGCGAUAAGUUUAUUAUUUAUUUAAUUGACUUAAUUUAAUUUAAUUUUAAAUAUUUUAUUUUAGAAAAAAAAUCUUACCACCACCAAAGGAUAUAUAUAAUCCGAUCAAUAAUAUAUAAAUUUUAAUAUUUUAUAAUUUUUAAUUAAUUGAUUGUAGAAAAUAGUUAUAUUUAUAAUAGUUGAUGUAAUUAAGAUUUUUUUUUUUUUAAAAAAAAAAUUAAUGCUUACAAGCAUUCAAAUAUAUACACUUGAUUAAUAAAAAAAUAAAAAAAUGAUAUAACUUAAUACUCAUCUAAAAUAAUUUAUAUAUUGAUGAUUUCUCAUUGAACCAUGUGAGAUGAUAUGUCUGUAACUGGAAUGAUCAGAUAUAUAGACUUGGAUAACUCGUAACGCUCACGUUCAACCAUUCUGAGCCUUAAGGCUCAUCUCAUGUUAGGCAAAGUCUAACUUCCUUUUUCAUUAUCAUUGAUGUUUCUUUUGUUUCAAUUGCCAGAAUCCUGUAAAAAUAUAAUUUCUUAUCCACUAAUCAAUACAUUUCAAAUUUUUAGGAAGGCAAUCAACUAAUCUUCCCUUCUUAUAGUAUAAAGGCAGCAGGAGUGCAGAGUUUAAGAUACAUAAGUCUAACUGAGUCAAGUUAUUUGUACUUCUUAUUUUAUUCAUCUACUUAAGUAUUUUUUGACUUGAACGUCGGAAUGGUUGUCCUAAAAGCACCAACCACCUCAUAUUUUCUUCUUCGGAGAUUAUCAACUCACUCGUGCAAUAGGUCGAUUCGGUUCCGAACCAAACCGAACCGAUAAAACCGAAAAUCAAAUUGUUAAAAUUUUAAAAAUCGAUUAUGAAGAUAUGAAGAUAUAAUCGAACCAAAUCAAACCAAUAAAAAUCAGUUCGGUUCAAAUCGAAAUUUGUAAUUUUUUUAAUUUUUUAUUUCUAAUUUCAACAAAAUAAUUUAAUAAACAUUCUACAUAAAUUUAUCAAUAAAUAUUGUCUAAAUAUACAAUGAUAAUACUUAAAAAGUCCAUAUACGUCCAUAUAAAAUUUAAAAAUACAUAUAAAAUCAAAAUUCCACAUAAUAAAUUCGCUAUAACAUAUUAAAUCCACAACAGUAAAUUCACAAUAAAAUAUUAUUCCACAAAUAACUUUUAAUAAUAUAUUAAAUCCACAACAGCCUUCAACAACAUAUAUGAAUUUGAUCCCACAAAAUGUUGAAUUGAAACAUAUUUAAAAAACUGAAAUCUGCACAAAAAAAAUAUUUAACAAUCACCUUGAUUCCUUAUCAUCAAAUAAAUUUAAAUUCUCAAUAGUUAAUCUUACAUCUAUGAGGUAGGAGUAGGGCAUGAUCCACCUAAACCAUGGGUGAUUCCAACAGACGGUAAUUCUGCAAAUAAUAAUAAGCUAAAAAAAUUAAUAUAUAUAUAUAUAUAUAUAAAUAUUGAAAUUAACACAAAUAUGAAAAUGUAUAUAACAUACCUUCUUCAAACUUUUCAAGUUCCUCUAGAUCUUCCUCAACAUUUAUUUGAACAUUUGAUGGACGAAUUCAAUCUUGCACACAUAUUAGGCCCUCAACAAUUUUAGGAGUCAGGGAACUCCUAAAGGAAUCUAGCACUCUUCCACCAGUACUGAAGACACUCUCUGAGGCAAUUGUAGAAACUAGAAUUGCUAAUAUAUCUCUAGCCAUUUUUCUUAAAAUAGAAACCCUUUCAGAAUUUAUUUUCCACCAUUUCAUGACAUCAAAAUCCUCCUUUUCCUCUUGAAUUGCCUCACUUAGAUACACUUCUAACUCUGUUUUUGAAUCAAACCCACCAGAUUCUUCCAACUUCUGUUUCUUGUAGUGAUGCUUUAAAAAGAAUUUAGGCUUAGGGUUUAUUGAACCGGUAGUAGUGCAACUCCCACUUAAUUGUUGUGAACUAUUAUCAUUGAAUUGCUCAACAUCAGGUUGAUACAUUUUUUUGUAUUCAUUAAACAAAUCAAACAAACAACUCUUGACCUUAUUGAAUAGCUCUACACCUUUCUCUUUACCAUACAUUUGGGAGAAAGAAUACUCCAUAAACUCAAAUUUAUCACGAGAGUCAAGAACAACAGCAAAAUAGAUAAUUUUAUUCAUUUUAUCCAUAUCUCCCUAAUACUUAUCAAAUUUAACCCUCAUUCUUCCCCCCAUAGAUUUCAUAUCAAGAUCAUUGCUAUUAAUUCAUUGGUUUAAAAUAAAGGCUAAGUCAUUGACCUCGCUGAAAAAUAGGUUUGAUGUGACAUACCUAGAGCCUGAGAUAUGCAAAGUGAGCUCAUAAAAAUGAGCCAACAUAUCUGCCAUCUUCCUAACUUGUGUCCAAUCAUAAUAGUCAAGUAUGCCAUUCUCUCUCAUAUCAAUCUUAAACAUGGGAUCUUAUGACUCGUACCUCUCAAAUGCCUUUUCAUAUUUUUGAGCUGUAUUCAACAUCAGGUACGUUGAAUUCCAUUUAGUUGGCACAUCUAAACAUAAUGAAGAUUUGCUUUUAAUUUUUUCAUGAAGCAUACACUCCUUAAAUCUCUUCAACCUAGCUGGAGAACUCCUUAUAUAUCUUACUGCAUCUCGUACUUUAUCACUGAAUCAUUCACAUCUUUUAAGCCAUCCUGGACAACUAAAUUGAUGAUAUGUGCCAUACAUCUCAUAUGCAAGUAAGUAGAGUUAGCAACACUAACACCACAAUUAGCAAGCUUCUUUUUCAAAUAAGAUAUGGCCACAUCAUUAGAACUAUCAUUAUCAACUGUAAUAGUGAACAUUUUAUCUAACCCUCACUCUAACAAGCAAGUCUCAAUUGCUCUACCUACUGCUUCACCUUUAUGACUUGAAAUGGGACAAAAGCUAAUGAUUCUCUUAUGCAACUUUCAAUCAUUGUCAAUAAAGUGAGCAGUUAUGCACAUGUAAUUAAUGCGUUGCAAUGAUGUCCAUGUAUUUGUAGUAAGACUCACUUUUUGAUAAUUUUUCUUAAAAAAUACCUCAGUUUUGAUCUCUCCUCAAUAAACAAAUCAUAACAAUCACGUGAAAUUGUCCAACGAGAGGGAAUCCUAAACCUUGGACAAAUUGCUCUCAUGAAGCUUCUAAAACCUUCUUCUUCUACAAAUCUAAAAGGCAAUUCAACAAUGAUUAUCAUAUGGACAAGGGCCUUCCUAAUUGCAUUUUCAUCAUACUUCCAAGUAGUAAGAGUGCCUAAAUCAUUCACAUCAUUGUCACUUGCAUUUUUUUGCAAUGAUAAUUGUGCUUGUCUAGUCUCAAUGGAAUGUGAGUGCUUUUUGCAUGAAUUAAGGGGAUUUCUAAGUGUCGUGGUUCCGUUUCUCUUUGGAUCACAACAAAAUUUCUUUUUACAAUAAUUACACUUACCUUUUAAUUCACCUUCACUAUUGAUGAAUUUUUUAAAGUGAUCCCAAACUAUAGACCUUGGCUUUACUGGUUUUCUCUUUGCUUUUGAUGAUGUGGUUAUUUUUGUUGAAGCAUUAGUACUACUUGAUUCAAAUCACUAGUACUAUUUUGAAACAUUUGAUCAUUUUGUGACUCCAUGAUUCACCUAAAAAGUAACAACAAUAUUCAAUUGGACAUAAGCUUAAUUAAUAACAAUAUAAAAAAACAGAAUUGGAAAUAAUAUUUUUUUCUUACAAAUAAUACAUACUAAACAUACAAGUUUUAUAGCAAUUAUUGUCUAAGUUAAUUUUGCUAACUGCGCCUCUAUAUUAGUGAAUGAAAGUGACUAAACAGUCUGAAAUAAUAUAUACAACUUCUAAAGAAAUUGCACUUAUAGUACCUUGUUUGAAACAAUCCCCAAGGCAUGUGCAAUGUGCACUGUUAAUAUUCUCUACCACAACAAUUCCAAUCUAAAAUCUAAAUACUUGAGGAGUAGAAACUUAUCAAGUUCUCUAACAUUCUUGUUGAACUUUAGUUCUUUAUAGAGUUUAUGACAUUCAAGUCUAAUUCAAAUACACACAACACGAAAGGGUGGAGGAACAUUAAUUCCCCUUUGUUUUAAUGGCAUUUAGGUUUGGUGCUUUGAUUUCAUCUAAUAUCUCAGCAAUGAGCAAAAGUAUUAAAUAUCAAAGUUACCAAACUGACUUUAAGAGAUCAAUUAGAUGGGAAAGAAAAAUUCAAACCUCCUCUAGCAAAGGGCCUAACUGACCUCUCUAGCGUAAUGAUGAAUGCCAAAAGCCCUCCCUCUUUCAGCUUUAAAGAAAGGACUACUGCUCAAGUACUGCUUAAGCUUAUUGGCAAGAGUCAAAACAGUGACAUUGGGGAAAUUUAAUUCCUCAUCCAACAAAGAUAAUAACCCGAAAGGUUUCUAUAUAAAUCACACAAUGGAUGGGAUGAGUGACCAUUUUAAGCAUAAACCAAUAAACCUAAAGAAAUAGAUAAAUGCAACAGCUGAUAUCAUCCAAUAAAAAAAAUCAUACACUUGCUGAAUAUAUCAUACAAUAUGGUACCACAAACCAAAAGUAUACUAAUAUUAAUCUGCCAUAUAUUGAUAAUCAUAUGUAAAGCAACCAAAAUGAAGAACCCAAACAACUUAUAACACAAAGCUGCACAUAAACACUACAGAAAAGGUACAUCCAUGAUCCAUUAAAAUACCUUCUCAAAGAGUUCAAUCACCAACCACUGAAGUUGCUAAACCCCUACAGAAAAAGCUUAAAAUUUAUACAUUGAACCUAAUUUUACAACACCACACAAGAAUAAAUAAAUAAAAAAAAACAGAAACUUCACAUUUAAAAUGAGGACAGACCUACCUCAAAUUAAUAAGCCAACAGAAGAGAUCACUAAAAGAGGACAGACAGUCGACGGUCGGUGGCGAAACUCAGCAAAUCAAUAGGGAGGGAGGGAAAGAGAUCGAUAGGGAGCGAUUCGUGACUUUGUUCAGCAGAUCGACGGGAAAGAGGACACUGAAAGAGGACAGACAGUUGACGGUCAGCGACGACACUCAGGAAAUCAACGGGGAAAGAAUUUGAUGGUCAACGGUCGACGAGAAAGAGAUUGAAGAUCGACGUGAAAGAGAAAGAGAUUAAUGGGAUUUGAUGAUUGAUUUGUUAGGGAUUCAACUAUGAGAGUGUGGAAAGGCCAGGGGGAGGAAUCGGGAGAAUAGGGGUUCGAGGAGGGAGAAUCAGGAGAUUGGAGAAUGUAGAGAACGUCUGGGGCCGAAAGGGAUGGAGGGGGUUGGGGUGCUAGGUUGGGUACGAGAGGUUAGGGGGAGGGCUCGGGCAUGGGCUUGGGCCUAGCCACUAAAUCGGUUUUUUCAGUUUGAUCGGUUAUUUAACAUGUUUAAACCGAACUGAAUUGAAAAUCGAAUAAUUUUAAAUAUAUUAACCGAACUAAACCGACCAUUCCGACUAAUCGAAUCGAUAAACUGAAAUCAACCGAUUUGGUUUGGUUUUUCAGUUUAAACCGAAAUAUGCUCUCCCCUAAACUCACUUAAAGAGUUUAUAUGACAACAUCAUUUGGUUUCAUUAUCGGGAUCCAAAGUGUUCUUCUCAUUUGGAAAAUUUGGCUUAUCUAAAUACUCCUUUCACUUCUUUAUUUCUCCUUAUUGCCUCUAAUGGCUAAUAUUUCACGAGCUGUUGCCAAAUUAGUUGUAAACAAGGGAGAUGUUGUUCCUAUCCUACUAGGAAGUUGCCAAAUUAGUUGCAAAUUAGUUGCAUUCGUAGCCAAAAAAGAUCGAUACAAAGCGGGUUACUACUAGGCGAGUGCUCGGAUAUUAGUUCCUAAAAGAUGUUCUAAGGCAUCCGAUUGCUAAAAGAGGAAGGUCACUACCAAGCAAGCAUUUGAGUGUCAAUCUCUAAUAAAUUUUCUAAGGAAUUUUAUUUUUUUUUUUUAGGAAAAAUAUCGCCAUGAGGUAGGUCACCACAGUUAGGUGAGUCCCUGAAACUAACAAAUAUUCCAAAGGCAUUUGUUGCAAAAAAAAAAACCACCACGAAGUGGACCACCACCAACUGAGUUUAUAGGUGUUAGUCCUUAAUGUUUUAAGUCAUUUAUAGUCACAAGGCGGGUUACUACUAUGUAAGUCUUUGGAUACAAUCCUUAUAGAAAAUCCUCUAAAGUAUUUGAUGCCAGGAAAUAUUUACAAGGCAGGUCGCUGUCAAGCGAGUCUUUGGAUGUCAAACUCCAAAAAAUAUACUAAAGUAUUAGAUGCUAAAUAUAGUGUACCAUACGUAAGUUAGAGGUGGUGAAAUUUUGAAGUCACUAAAGAACUAAGCUAGUUAUGUAGAAAGAUUACUAGGAGAUCAACCUACAGUAAGUAUUGAAUAGAAAUAGAAUUGUAAAAUCAUACUAUAAUAAAUCACGUUUUAAACUUUACAAAAUCACUGAGUAGGAGGGUUCUCAUUUGCCUCCUCACGAGUCUUUACAGUUACAUUAUCAUCUAAAUUAAUGCAGGGUCUUGAGUGUUGGCCGAGCUAGCAGGGUUAUUACCACCCUCUCCCUCCACCACUUCUUCCUCUUCUUCCUCAUCCUUUGGAAGGAUAUCAUCUAUCUAGAAAAAAUCAUCGAUAGGAAAGUGACUAUGCGGUUGUCGAAACCGGUCAAAAAUAACCUUUUUGGUUAUCAACAAUUUUACAACUGUAGAUAGUGGCAAAAGGAUCGAAUCCACAGAGAAUUAAUACUUACUUAUUUUCCUAAUCAAGACCUAGUAAAUAAAUAGGCAAUAAAAGUAAAUUGGGGGGGUUUUGAAGAUUGAUGACUAAAUUAGCAACAAAGUAAAGUAAAUAAUAAAAUAAAGGAAAUUCAAUAAUGAGAGAGGCCUAGUUAAAGAGUUGGAUCCACUUUAGUUGUUGGGAUUGAUAAUUGAUACUUAUAUUCUUUUAUUUGACUCAAUAAAUUAGUUAUGAAGGUGAAAGACACUUCUCACCUUCAUAUCACUCCUUAAGUAUAGAUUAAUUAGGGAACGUCCUCUAAUUAAUCACUAAUCAAUAAGUUGCUAAGGAACGUCCUUGGGCCUUUGGCAUCUAACAACUGCUAAUUGCAUUAAGUGAUAGAGAGACCUAAUUCUAGCUACCCAAACGUAUGGUGAUAUUGCUAGAUCAUGCAAUUUACUUAGUUUUUACACCAAGUGUUACUUGUGUUUGAAUAAUUCAAGCAAUUACAGACUUAAACUAUCCAAACUAACGAAUUAUUACUUUGUAAUCAAGAAUCAAUGGGCCCUAUUGAUCUAAACAACAAAGCAACAAUGAAAUUAAGCAUGAAAUUGCAUGAAUAAUGAUAAAUAAAAGAUAAACAUAAUAUGUACAGAUCUCGGGCAAGUCUUGUUUGCCCGGGUUGUUUGGGCAAACAGCUUGGGCAAACAGUCUGUCUUCCCUGUUAUUUGUGCAUUGCUUCUGACCUGCUGGUCUGUUUGCCUAGUCUGUUUGGGCAAACAGUCUGGUCAAACAACAUAUUAUUCUUCUCCCAUUUCAGCUUCAACUUGGUUUGGGCAAACGGACUUAGGCAAACCAGCUAGUUCUCUUUUGUCAUCUUUUGGGCAUAUUUAGGGUCAUUUUUACCAAAUUACCCUUUUACAUCAUUUAUGCAAAAUAAGAUCAAAACCACAAAAUUAGAUAGAAAAUGUAUAAAUUAACAUAAAUAACAACAUGAAAAAUGAGUUUAAAUUUGGCUCAAUCAGAAAGCGCAUGACCAGCUCCUUCUUUACAACAUCCUACACCAUUACAUACAAGCUCCCUCCACAGGCCUUUUUCUCUUUCAGCUUGUUUUAUAACUCGGACAAUCUGUCUACAAUAGCCUGGUUCUCCAUGGCUUGAGCUUCGAGCAGUUAGAUUUGUUUCUUUAACUUUGCAACUUGGUCUUUAAUGGCUUUGGCUCUAGCCUCAAGACUUUCCUUCUCAGAAUUUGCUUGGUCUAAGUCUACUUAGAGCUUAUCUAUUGACUCUAGAGUCUCCUUCGUUAUCUCCACCACCUCCUUGACUCGAGUCUUCAACCUAUAGGACUCCUCCAAAUGAAGGUUUUCUCCCCUUCUACAACCCUAAAAUUUCUUCUGAAGGCUUUAUCCCAUUCUUUGGCAAGGUAGGAUGACAAAACGCUCUCCCUAGCAAUAUAGAUCGCGUUGUCAUAAAGCUCAUCAGUCUUAAGCGCCUUAGUCGAUGGCAAUUUCCAAUGUACAUUGCGUUCUUUAUAAUGAAUAGGGAAAGUUGGGGCUCUUUGAGCAAAGACUCCAUCUAGGUUAAGGCAUAGACUUGGAUAUUCUGGGGCCAUAGGGAACUUGUUUCAGCUUUCGUCUGGGUGGAUGCAGGAAAACGUAGGGGGGAAGAUGGAAAGGUGAUCCUGCAAACCUUGUCCUUAGGUAUCAAGAUUGAAUGCACGGGGCAUCAUAGGCUAUAGGUUCAUGAGUUAUGGGAGCCACAUGAUUUAUGGGCGACGCAAUGGAUAUCUCUUGGCGACAAGGGCGUUUUGCCACUUGGGCUUCACACCUCAAGGCAGCUACUUUUCCUUUCCUAGCAGUUAGUGCAGCCUCGACCUGUUUGCCCUUAUGAGCCAUAUAUGCACAAAAAAAUGAGUUAUAUUAAGGAUAAAGUUUCAGGUAUGGUACCUUAUUCUGAUGGUUGAGGUGGAAUAGUCCUAAGAAACUCAAAAUCUAUCUCAUCUUGAUUUGGUUGAUCUGAUGUCAACUGCAAUUAUUUAAUUUAUUAAUUCAUAAAAAAAAUUCAAUUUUUAACCCAUAAUUAAAUAAUCCCCCAAAAAAAAUUAAUUCUACUCACAUAAAAUGCCACAACUGUUCCUGCUGAAUGUCCUGCAACUAGUUUGAUUUGCAUAUCAAUCUGACCGAACAAGAACAUCUGGUUCGAUGCAAAUCCGGAUCCUAUAGAGCAUAUUAAUUCUCACAGAUAUUGCAGAAAAGAAAAUAAAAUUAUAUAGCGCGCGUAAAUUUAUUAAUUUUUAUACAUACCAGAUUCUUGGUCAAGUUUCAAGCUUCUUGUCCUACCAUCAACAGAAGUGUUUACAUGGCUAGGAGACCAUGUUACAAAGAAAUCUUGAUUGAAAUUUCCUGGAAACAACAGAAGAGAAUGAAAUUUGUAAUAAAUUGGCUAAAAUAAUUUCAAUUAAGAGUAUGAAUUUGAAAAUGUUUGACAUGAUUUUUGGUGAAUUUUGGCUUGAUGGGGUGACAAGGAAAUGGCUGAUAUGCUAUAUAUACGCAUUGCAUGAGAUGAUUUUCUCAAGAAAGAAUAUCUUUAGAGAGAAGCAAAGGAAUAUCAAGCUGUUAGCAUAUUAUAUACAUAUAUAUUAAUUAAUUAUGGUUUCACUAAACAUUAGUCUGGUGGUAAGUGCAUCUGAGUAAAUUUGAGAGAUCUCAGAUUCUACUCCUGCAAUUUCUAUUUAAAAAAAAAAAAUUAUGGUUUCACUCAGUUAUGUUUUAAAAAAUAUCUUAUUUUUUAUAAUUAUUUUUCUAAAUCAUAAUUAAUUUGCACAUAAUAAUUAAUUAGAGAAUGUUUGAUGAUCAUAAAAGUCUUGUAAGCCAAGCUAUGAAUAUGUGUGUGAUGCAGGCUUUCUCAAUGAGAGACCUUUUUGGUGUGGCAAUUGCAGAAAGUUUAAGAAAGUUGGAAACAAACUUAAGAUCAGUUGGCUACUUUUAGGGGAAAGCAUUUCUCGGUCUAAACCGAAAAUCGAACUGAAACGGUUGAUUUCAAUUUAUCAGUUCGGUUAGUCGGGACGGUCGGUUUGGUUCGAUUAAUAUAUUUAAAAUUAUUCGGUUUUCAGUUCGGUUCGAUUCAAACAUGUUAAAUAACCGAUCAAACUGAAAUAACCGAUUUAGUGGCUAGGUCGAACCCAAGUCCAAGCCCUCCCCCUCUCUUACUUAACCCAGCACCCCAAGCUCUCCAUCCAUUUGGACCCCAGGCAUUCUCCUCCCCAUUCCUGAUCCCCCCAACCCGAAAACCUGAACAAGGUCAUGAACCGUUCACUCCUUAUCGAUCUCUUUCCCUCCCUCCCUAUUGAUUUGCUGAGUGUCACCGCCCGUCGAUCUGCUGAACGAAGUCACGAACCACUCGCUCCCCAUCGAUCUCUUUCCCUCCCUCCCUAUUGAUUUGCUGUGUCCCUAUUGAUUUGCUGAGUGUCGUCACCUGUCGAUCUGCUGAAUAAAGUCACGAACCGCUCCCCACCCAUCGAUCUCUUUUCCUCCCUUCCUAUUGAUUUGAUGAGUGUCGUCGCCGAUCGUCGACUGUCUAUCCUCUUUUAUUGAGGUAUGACUUUUGUUUUAUUGCUAAACAAUGAAUCUACUUAUUGGGUUCUUGCAUUGUAUAGCGUUUACUGUGGAGCUUUGGUUAGGUUUUGUUUGUUGUAUAAGAUCAAUUGUUUAUGGAUUUUGAAUCUUGUUGAAGAAUUGGGUUUAUUUAUUGAUUUUGUAUUUUGUUGAAGAAUUGGAUUUAUUUAUUGAUAAAUUUAUGUGAAAUAUGUAUUGAAUUAUUUGUUGAAAUUAUAAAUAGAAAAUUAAAAAAAAAAUGCAGAUUUCGAUUUGAACCGAACCAAACCAAACCGAACUGAUUUUUAUCGGUUUAAUUCGGUUUGAUUAUAUAUUCAUAAUCGAUUUUUUCGGUUUUUAAAAUUUUAACGCUUCGGUUUCGGUUUUUUCGAUUCGGUUCGGUUCGGAACCGAACCUACCGAUUGCACAACACUAGCUACUUUGUUUUCUUUAUUGUGCAUUUCUUUUUAGCGUUGUUGUUUCAAACUUCUCUUUCUCUUUGUAUUCUUUCAAAUAUUGCAUUUUAUUCUUUUCCUCCUCCUUUAGGAUUAUUAGGUUGGAAAAUUAUUGCAUCUACUCAUUUAUUUAUUCUCCAUAAUUUAAGAAAAAAAAUUAAAAUAUUUAUUAUACACCCAUCUAAUAGAAUUUUAUUAUCAUAAUUUUAAUUAAAAAAAUUAUUAUUUGAUUUUUGUGCUAGCGAAGAAAACUCGUUAAUUAAUAUUUUGAUUUUAAAAAAUAUAAUAAAAUAAUAUUAUAAAUUUUAAAAAAAUUUAUAACUUUUUAAUAUAUUUUUUAAAAUCGAGAAAUUAAUUAUUAUAAUUUAAUUUGUAAGAAAAAAAAAAUUAUUAUUAUUAUUAUUAUUAGUUCACUAAGACAAUAGUGGAGUAUCUUUGACACUAAUCCUUGAAAAGUAAAGAAUCAUUUUGAGGAUAAGAUUUAUUAACAUUAAUUAGUGGAUGCUUAAUCAAGUAAAAAGUGGAAAAGCUAUAAUAUUAUAAUUACUGUGUAAGUAAGCCUUUUUUUUAUUUUCUUAAUUUGAUGCAAACAUGUAAUUUUAGAGCAAUUAAAGAUUUAAUUAAAAGAAAAAGAAUACAAACAAUGACAAAAUUAAUUAUUUUUUUAAAAAAUAUUUAUAUAUAUAUCUUUUCCCUUAAUUUAUGAUCAUAAUAUAUAAAAAUAUGAAAGAAAAGUUUAUGGUAGUUAUCGGUAUUCGGUUUAAAAACAAUGCUGGAAUUAAAUUAAUUUAAAAUUCAGUUUAAUUUUUAUUUUUAAAAAUUUUGAUAUUUUAAUUUAAUUUUAAUAAAAAAAAUUAAUAUUUCAUCGAAUUAAUUAGUGAUAAUAGUAUAUUAUUUUUUAUAAUAUAGAGAUUAUUUUAAUUAAAGUUUAAAAUAUUAAAAAUAAAUAAAGUAUAGAAAAUAAAAAAAUUUAUUAAAAAAUUAAACCGAUCAAAUUGAAUCAGAUUGAUUUGAUUCAAAUCAAUUUCUGUUUAAAAUCAAUUUAAUUUGAUUUUUGUAUAUAUUAAAAUUUAAUUUUUAAUUUAUUUAAUACGAUUCGAUUUUAAAUCGAAUCAAUCGAAUAUCCACACUAGAUUCAUCGUUGAUGAUUUCAGUUUUCAAGUUCUAAUUUGGGUUAGUUAGAGUUAAUUAUAUUUAAAAAUAAAAUUAUUAUAUAAAAUACAUAUUUUUUAUUAUUAUCAUUAUACGAAUUUCAUCAAUAUAAAAGGGUUUUUAAAACUAUGUUAUAGGAAUUUUUUUUAUUAACAUAAAUAAAAAUAUAUUUGUUGCACAUGAGGGAUCAAUUUAUCCACCAUAUUGUUUAGAAAGGCUUAUUUAAUGUGAAAAAUUAAAAUUUUAUAUUUAAAGAAAAUUAUAAUCAAAAUUUUUAAUUUUAGAUUAAAAUCUUAAUUUUUAAAUUUAUUAUAAUAUAGUAAUUUUUAAGAUAAUUCAUUCAAUUGAAUAUAAAAUUUAAAAAUUUAUGUUUAAUUACUAUUAUAAUUAAAAUUUUUAAUAUUAUAUUAAUUUUUUAUAAUUAUUAAUCCUUAAAAUAAUUGUUAUUAUAUUUAAAUAUAGUGCACAUGUCAUGUUAUUUAUUUUUUUAAAAAUAUUAAUUAAACGUAAAAUUUAGACUUUGUAUAUAUAUUCAUCCCUCUUAAUUUAAACAUUUAUGUUGCUAAUUGAUAAUUUCUAUAAAAAUAUUAAUAUGCUAAUUAAUAAAGAGAUUAACAUUAUAAUCAAUGGUUAUUUUCUAUUAAGGAUCCGUUUAUUUAUAAAAAAUAAUUUAUAUUUAGAAAAUAUUUUUUAUAAAAAAUAUUUUUCAACUAAAUAACUUAUUUUCUUAAAUAAUUUUAAUUUAAAAAAUAAAAUUUAUUAAUAAAUGUAUAUAUUAAGAUUUUAAUAAAAAUUUAAAAAUAUGAAAAAUAAUUUUAUUUUUUUAAAAGUAAAAUGCCUUAUUUAAAAUGACUUAAAGAAAAUAAUUUUUCUUAAAAUGAAAUUUAAGAACAGAAAGUGUGAUUUCAAAUUACGAAAGCAUUAUGAACACAAUUUGAAAAUAAGGAUUAUAAAAACACAUAUGAAUUAAAAAAAAAAAAAAAAAACUAGAAUACUAUAUUGAAGGGUGAAUCUCUAAGUGUUUUAAAAUUACGCAUCGUUGAUAAUUUUAGUAAAGAUUUUAAAAGUAAAUACCGAGUCAUACGAAGAAUAAAUAAGUAAGAUUUUCUCCCUCAACUUCCAAAUCUUAACAUCAAGAGAAGUAUAAAAGAUUCAGAACUCUGUAUGUUUAUUCAUACAGAUAAAACAAAAAGAAAAAAAAGUAAAAUCCAUAGUUGAGUUUACAAGAUGAAGAAAUUUGGGCUUCUCAUCUGUUGUAUUUCACUUAUGAUUAUAUUUUCCUUAUUUUCUGUUUCAAAUGCUCAAGAGAAAGAGAAAGAAGCUGAGGCCUCUGCUCCUGGCGGAGAGGCGUCUGCUCCCGGUCCCGGCGGAGAAGCCUCUGCUCCCAGCGGUAAAGAAGCCUCUGCUCCUGACGGUAAAGAAGCUGAGAAAAAAAAGAAAAAGUAGAUAUUUUAAAGAUUUUUGCAUGCGAUCACUGUAUGCGGCGAGAAAUAAGUUAAAAGAAAGAUUUAAUUAGUAGAUUUUUAAAUAAGUAAAGUUUUGAUAUUUACAAUAUUUUUAUAUGUAACUGUUUCAGCGAGAAUUAAGUUAAAAAGAAAGUUAAUUGUUGGACUUCCAAAUAAAUAAAAGAAUCUGAAUCUCUAUCUUAAAAGAGCCUUGAAACAAGUUAUACUGUUAUAAAAUUUAUUUUUACAAUGCUCAUCAAAUUUUUUUUUAGAAUUAAACAUAUUUAUAUUAUGAUUUUUUUAUUAAAAAUUACAAUUAAAAAUUUUUCAGGAUAUAUAAAAUUAGUAAAAUAAGGAAUAUUUAGUAUAACAAAUUUAAGGUCUUAAUUUAUCUUCAUAUAAUAAAAUUAAAAAAUAAUAAUANNNNNNNNNNNNNNNNNNNNNNNNNNNNNNNNNNNNNNNNNNNNNNNNNNNNNNNNNNNNNNNNNNNNNNNNNNNNNNNNNNNNNNNNNNNNNNNNNNNNNNNNNNNNNNNNNNNNNNNNNNNNNNNNNNNNNNNNNNNNNNNNNNNNNNNNNNNNNNNNNNNNNNNNNNNNNNNNNNNNNNNNNNNNNNNNNNNNNNNNNNNNNNNNNNNNNNNNNNNNNNNNNNNNNNNNNNNNNNNNNNNNNNNNNNNNNNNNNNNNNNNNNNNNNNNNNNNNNNNNNNNNNNNNNNNNNNNNNNNNNNNNNNNNNNNNNNNNNNNNNNNNNNNNNNNNNNNNNNNNNNNNNNNNNNNNNNNNNNNNNNNNNNNNNNNNNNNNNNNNNNNNNNNNNNNNNNNNNNNNNNNNNNNNNNNNNNNNNNNNNNNNNNNNNNNNNNNNNNNNNNNNNNNNNNNNNNNNNNNNNNNNNNNNNNNNNNNNNNNNNNNNNNNNNNNNNNNNNNNNNNNNNNNNNNNNNNNNNNNNNNNNNNNNNNNNNNNNNNNNNNNNNNNNNNNNNNNNNNNNNNNNNNNNNNNNNNNNNNNNNNNNNNNNNNNNNNNNNNNNNNNNNNNNNNNNNNNNNNNNNNNNNNNNNNNNNNNGGUCUGAUAACUGGUGGAGCUAGCGGAAUUGGUGCGGCCACUGCGAGGCUGUUUCUCAAACAUGGAGCCAAGGUCAUUGUUGCAGAUGUUCAAGAUGAUCUUGGUCACUCUCUUUGCCAAGAACUGGGCUCAGAAGAAAUUAUCACUUAUGCCCAUUGCGAUGUAACUCGUGAUUCUCAAGUCCAUAACGCUGUAGAUUUAGCCGUCUCCAAGUAUGGAAAACUUGAUAUUAUGUAUAGCAAUGCUGGACUUCCAGCCAAUAUGGAUGGAAUCCUAAGCUCAGACAACGAAGAAUUCAAAAGGGUGCUCGAUGUCAAUGUGUUUGGUGGUUUCUUGGCAGCCAAACACGCUGCUAGAGUCAUGAUUCCUGCCAAGAAAGGUUCUAUUAUCUUCACUGCAAGUAAUCUUUCAGUGACUUGCUUUCAGUGUGCGCAUGCAUACAUUGCUUCAAAACAUGCUGUGGUUGGUUUGGCUAAGAAUCUUUGUGUGGAAUUGGGCCAAUAUGGGAUCAGAGUUAACUGUGUCUCGCCAUAUGCAGUUGUAACCCCAUUGCUAAAGAGUGGUUUAGGGUUAACGGGGAUGGAGAAUGAGAAGAUUCAGGAAGCGGUUUCGGCUGCCGGGAACUUGAAGCAGGCUGUGUUGAAAGCAGAAGAUAUAGCAGAGGCUGCUUUGUAUUUGGGAAGUGAUGAGUCUAAGUAUGUGAGUGGGCUGAAUCUGGUGGUUGAUGGAGGUUAUAAUCUCACCAAUCCCUCCAUUGAAAUGGCAAUCAAAAGAUUACAUUCUUCUUAGGCAGUGAUGUGUAAUCAGGAGUAUCCCUCCAUUGAUGGAAGUUAUGGUAUUGGGUUGAUGGUGUCGUUUAAUUAUGGUGUCUUGUCUUUAUUGCUGUAUGCAUGUCUCUCAUGGUUUCUACUUUCUAAGCAUGUUCUGUUCGGUUUUGUUGUUUAUGGCUGGCUUUGAUCAGUUUCGUCUUUAUGCUUUCUUGUUUGAUUGGGAUAUAGAUUGUCCCUGUACUUCUUGUUUGUUGUUUAUGUCUGGUUUUCUUCAAUUUCACCCAUGUGCUUUCUUGUUUGAUUGUCCCGUAUCUUCUCGGAUUUUUUCACUUGCCAACAAUUCUUAUCU
rnacentral:lncRNA from 1 species